rnacentral:rRNA from 1 species
GACGAACGCUGGCGGCGUGCUUAACACAUGCAAGUCGAACGGAAAGGCCCUGCUUUUGUGGGGUGCUCGAGUGGCGAACGGGUGAGUAACACGUGAGUAACCUGCCCUUGACUUUGGGAUAACUUCAGGAAACUGGGGCUAAUACCGGAUAGGAGCUCCUGCUGCAUGGGGUGGGUUGGAAAGUUUCGGCGGUUGGGGAUGGACUCGCGGCUUAUCAGCUUGUUGGUGGGGUAGUGGCUUACCAAGGCUUUGACGGGUAGCCGGCCUGAGAGGGUGACCGGCCACAUUGGGACUGCGAUACGGCCCAGACGCCUACGGGAGGCAGCAGUGGGGAAUAUUGCACAAUGGGCGGAAGCCUGAUGCAGCAACGCCGCGUGCGGGAUGACGGCCUUCGGGUUGUAAACCGCUUUCGCCUGUGACGAAGCGUGAGUGACGGUAAUGGGUAAAGAAGCACCGGCUAACUACGUG